CUCGGGAUCAAAGCGAACCACAAAUAACCUCUCAGCGCGCCGCCCUCCUCCGCCCUCCUCCGCCCUCCGCCUCCUCCCGCUCCCUCCUCCCGGCCCCCGCCUUCCUCCCGGGAGGCGGCGCUGCGGACCCGGCGGCCGGCCCCUGAGCUCCGUUCCCGGGCGGCGCAGGGCCCUCCAGGACGCCCUGCGCCUCUCCCGCCUCCCCCACCCCACCGCCGCGCUUUGCUCCGGGCUGCUGGGGACGAAUUAAUCCGCUCGGCCAUUACCGUCCCCGCCUUCCGCUCACUCCUUCAUCCCUGUCCGCGGAACGACCCCCGAAGAUGGACAGUCGCGUGUCCCUGAGGGGUUCUGGGUUUUGCUGCGGGAGAGGGGCUCGGGGGUUGUGUGUGUGUGUGUGUGUGUGUGUGUGUGUGUGUGUGUGUACGCGAGGGGAGGAAGACUGCAAAGAUGUCCGUACCUGCCUGCCUGCCUUGGACCCCAGCCCCGGCGAAGAGAAGACUGCUCCCAGCUCCAGCCGCUCCCUAACCCCCACUGCUUUCACCGCCAGCGGCAACCUUUGAAUUGUCCUGUUACUGUUUACCAACACCUUCGCCAGCUCCUUUAGGGCCUGUCUCCACAGGAAGUGUGAAUCUGGGUUGAAAAUCUUCCGGUUAAUUUGAUCCACCUAACCCACUGAAUCACCCGCCGCCAGGCGCUCUGUCCAGCUCUUCUGGAAAAAGGUGCUUAUCGGCACCCCUAAAUUCACGCAGAGCGCACGGUGUGCCACCACCCACUUUUCCCCUCGUCCUGCCUGUCAGCCCUCCCAAAUCAUCCUGCCAGGGAGUUCUGUUAUCAUCCCUGUGAUAUACACGAGGAAACCAAGGCUCAGGGAGGUUGAUUAGCUUGCCCCAGGGUCACACAGAGCAGAAGUUGAUGAAGCCAGGUAACCACAGCCUGCUCAGUUUUUCAUUCUCAAAACCCUUCUGUUGCCACCAGGAUCCAGGCUCCCUAUAAAGGGACAGGACAGACCCUGGGAACCCUCCUCUCUCCAUUCCAGUCUCUUCUUUAUUUCCCCCUACACCCCUGCCAGUCAGGGACCUUCCCUGACUGCUAUUCUUUAUCUGGAUGAAGUGCUUUCCUCUGCCCUUCGGACCCUUACUCCCCCACUAUCCACUCGGCCCGUCCAUUGUGCUGGUACACACCCCUUCAGACCCGCCCUCCCCACCUGCCUUUCUCCUCUAUGCCCACAGUUCAGGGUGCCAUUCCUGAGCCCUGACCACACUGGGCCUCCCAACAUCCGCGUGUGGGGGACUCAGGCCCCUGUCCACCGGGAGAGUCAAGGCUGAGUCCUACCCCCCAGUAGGGUCCUCUCCUCCUUCCCUCACCAUGAAGUUUACAAGUCCCAGAUCUGCUGGAGUGACCAGAGACAAGAAAACUUUGUGCAUUCAAAGAGCUAUUUACUAGCCAGGGACAUUGUUAAUUUUUAAUAAAAUCCCUCCCCGAAAAUGUGUAUAUGUGUGUGUGUGAUUUACUUGUUAGCCAAAUAUUGCAUUGCAAAUAAUGAUUGGCUCUGAGACAAAGGAGAAAAUAAGUCAUUUGUGCCAAGCUAAGGGAUAUUUGGCCAUCUAAGGAUCAUCUCACAAAGAAAAGCUAAGGCCAAUAUGCCUCUGUCCCAUCUAGAAACACUUGGUAGAACUUUUAGAAAUGAAAAGGAAGAGAGAAGAAGAGAUCCCCGGAUGGCCUUACCCCUUGGACAGCAUUCUUCCUGGAGACACUUGGUGGAGGUAUGAGAGUAGGCGGGGACAUGUGCACUCUGGCGUUGCAAAAUCAGGGGAAAGGUCAUAUGGUCUUUCAGGGACAUUUGGGGGGGCACCUGACAAAAUGCUUGAUAAACAUUCUUUUUUUUUUUUUUUAAGAUUUUAUUUAUUUAUCCAUAAGAGUCAGAGAGGCAGAGGGAGAAGCAGGCUCCCCGCGGAGCAGGGAGCCCGAUGCGGGGCUCGAUCCCAGGACCCUGGGAUCAUGACCUGAGCCAAAGGUGGACACUUAACCAUCUGAGCCACCCAGGUGCCCCUUGACAAACAUUCUUGAGAUGGUUGCAGAAAGGGGCUGCUCAAGGCAGCUAGAGUCAAGGAAGGACCUCUUGGAGUGGGAGGAAGCUACCCGUUAACACUGUGAUUGACACACAAGGACUCUGGACGGCAGGGGAAUUUAAGGAGGAGAUCGAUUGCUUUUGAAGAAAAGGUGGCCAUCUGGAUGGUGCAGGUGCAAGGUAGCUGGGCUGCAAGGUGGCAGAUGGUUUGGUCCUCUGAAGACAAAUUAGGGAACCCGCAUGAUGACAGAUGGGCAGAUGUUGGGUCGUUGUGAAAGGGGUUUGUCCAGUUGGAAUCUCUUUACGGCAGAUUAGUUUGGAAAAUAUCUCAAGCAAUAGAAAGAAGAGAAAGGAGAGGCUCUGCAGAUCUAUUAUCCCUUACCUGAAAUUCCAAAAGGCAGGUCCCGGUCCCAUAGCCCCUGCAGGCUCCCUUGUGGGAGAGCAAGGAAGAGGAGGGCUGAGGUGGGAGGAAACAGAGCCGGUAGGAUGGACAUAAGGAGGUUCCUCAGUCCCCAUUGUCCCUGAGGCACUGGGAGCUUCCCUAGACAAGCAGCCACGCACGGAAGUGUUGGUGUCGCCCAGGACGGGGCAUCAGCUCUAUCACUUGCCAGAAGUGGCCGACAGAGGCCCCCUCCCCCACCGUCUAUCCUACCGAAUAUCGCCUCGGAUUCACUUCUCCGCACGUCCUACCUUCCAGAAAGUGGUUGCUUUUCUGUUCAGAGAGUUGUUGCUAUUCUUUUCUUCGAUCUCCUGUUGAGUUCGUAGGUGUUCAGAAUGGUUUGAUCUCUAUCCAGCUGAAUUCCUGGGACCAGACAAAAUCCAGGUCUCCUACUCUUCCGCCAUCUUGCUCCGCCCCUCUCUAGAUAACUUUUUGUUUUUGACUUCUAAUUUAAUUUUAAGUGGGCAGAGAACAUAUAAUUCAAUAUUUUUAUAUAUUGAUACUUGUUUUAUGGCUCAGAAUAUGGUCUAUCUUGGUCAAUGUUCCAUCUGCAUUUGAAAAGAAUAUGUGUUCUGCUGUUCUUUGUGGAGUGUUCUAUAAAUGUUCGUAAGAUCAUGUUAGUUGAUUAUUGUUCAAAUCUAUAUACUAGCUGGUUUUCUGUCUACUAUAAAUUAAUGAGAGGAGUGUUGAAAUAUCCAACUAUAAUUGUGGAUAAAAUCUAUUUCUCUUUCCAUUUCAGUUGUUUAAUGUUUCAUGCAUUUUGAAGUUUUAUUGUUAGGUAUAUAAAUGUCUAGGAUUGUUAUGUCCUCUUGGUGAAUUGACUCUUUUAUCAUUAUGAAAUAUUCAUCUUUAUCUUUGGUAAUAUUCUUUUAAUGAAAGUCUACUUCAUCUAAUAUUAGUAUAACUAUGUUAACCUUAUAAUUAGUGUUCACAUGGUAUAUAAUUUUCUAUAAAAGAUCUUUUUAUGUUUAUCUUUUCUGUGUCUUUAUGAUUAA